UCACUUCCGCCGCCGCCUCUCAGCAAGCAAAGAUGUCGGAAGAUUCAGAGGUUGUGCUGCAGCUCCCCUCGGCUCCUGUAGGAGCCGGCGGCGAGAGCCUUCCAGAGCUCUCCCCGGAAACAGCCACCCCAGAGCCCCCGUCCUCGGCUGCAGUUUCGCCCGGAACGGAGGAACCUCCCGGAGACACCAAGAAAAAAAGUAAUGUCAACAUCCGUUAGUGGGCGGGGGCAGGAGACUUACUGCUGUUUCUAGGAGUGGUGGCUCGCGAAGAAGCAAAAGCUAAAGAGGGGCGCAUCGCAGAGUUGACAUCCUGCUGAAGGCUGUAGGAGACACUCCUAUAAUGAAAACAAAGAAAUGGGCUGUGGAGCGAACCCGGACCAUCCAAGGACUCAUUGACUUCAUCAAAAAGUUCCUUAAACUGGUGGCCUCGGAACAGUUGGUAUGAUGACAGUGGUGACUGUUUGCCAUGGGAACACAUGCACACAAAGCUACACACUGCUCUUUUUCUCCUUUCCUCUCAUUUGUGGUGAGACCUAUGUACUGUAUCAGAAGAUACUUUGAGAAGCUCUGGAAUGAGAGAAAUUUGGAUUCACCUUGCUACCUAAAAGUUGUUUUUUAUUAUUUAAUGUUUAUCUCAAGCUUUGUAAGACUCUGGGGGUUGGGAUGUUCAUGCAGAGGUCAGAGGACAAUCCUUGGAAGAGGGUUCUCUUUCCACCAUGUUCCUGGAACUCUCUCACUCGGAUCAUCAGGAAGUGCCCUGACCUGUCCAGUCAGCUCAGCUCGAUGACCCUUGACAGUGUCUUUGUUGUUACUAUCACUGCUGACCAGGAUUUUUUUCGUUUUUCAAAGCGCGGGGUUUUAUUUACUUUCCUCAAAAUAUCACUGAAUAGUCAUGCAUAAAUAUUUGUCAUGGAGCAUUAUGUCCUCUGUAUGUUAGCAAAGUUUGGUGUUUACUUUGAUUCUGUUAUUACUUUUGUCCCCAUUCAUCGGGUUAGCAGGGUAUCUUUCACCUACUGUCUGCCUAUUUCACAGUGUAGUAUACGGUAAGCACUGUAUUGGGAUGGUAUUUUUAGUAACAGGUUUGUUUCUUUGAAGAACCUUGGGUACAGUGCCAUGCUUCGUUUGCCAUUCAUCUUGUUUUGUUUUGUUUGAGACGGUUUAAUUGGCCUGAACUUCACCAAGUAGGCUAGUCUGGCUACCCAGUAAGUCUCAGAGGUCCACCUGUCUCUAGCUCCACAGUGCUGGGAUCACAAGCAUGUUCUACCAUGCCUAGCUUUUCCUGGAAUAUAUGAAGGUUAGAACAUAAGUCUUCAUGCUUGCAUUUCAAGCACUCACAUCAUUUAACAAUGGAGACAUUGGAGAAAUGCAUUAUUAAACAAUUUUGUUCUUGUGUGAACAUCUUAGAGUAUGGUUAUGCAAAGUAACAGAACAUUACAUGAAAGUAGGAGCUUACAGGGCCGUAGUAUGUAGUCCCUCUGUAACUAAAUCAUCACUAAAACACAGCUAUGCUUAGCAUUAUGUAUUACUUGGUAUGUAUUUUAUCUUUUGAGUAGCCCCAUGAGAUAAAAAUACUUUUCUUUUCAGUCCCAUUCGUAUACAUAGGAUAGGCUUUAAAAUGUUAUUUGUAUUUAGCUCCAGGACUUUUAACUGCUUCAUUCAGUACUGAAAGAGAAAAAUUUAACCAACAUUUAUUGUUGUAUAAAUAACGUACUGUUUUGUUUUGUUUUGUUUUUAAAGAGAAAGAAAUAAGAUUGUUAAGCAAAAAACGACUUUAUUAUUAGAUCUGGAGGUGAAUGUUGGAUGUUACAUUCCACUUUCCUUCUAUUUUCUAAAAAAUAGUUGAUCAAAAGCAUCUCUGGUACUGUGACCUUUUGCUUUAAUAUCUUUAGGAAUUUUUAUCUUUUAUUGUGGCUCAGUGGGAUUUUUUUUCCCCUGUUUUGGGGUACUCUCACUGUUUAGACUGGCCUUGAAUCCUGUGGAUUUUGGUAUAGUGUUUUGAAUAUCCUUGCAAAAACUAUUUGUGAAAAAUUACUUAAAAUGUAUUUAUCUGGGGGAAUAGAUCAGUCUAUAAAGUGCCUUCCACUUAACAAAGAUGAAGACCUGAGUUCAGGUCCCCAGCAUUUAAACUCGGGGCCCUGUACUCACAUAUGUAACCUCAGUGCUGGGGAGGGGCGACAGGAGGUCCUGGGUCUCACUGGCUAGCCUCCCUAGCCAUUGGAUGGGCUCCAUCCUCAGAGAGAUCCAGAGAGGCUCUGUCUCAAAAUAAUAAAGCAAGAGAGCCAUCAAG
rnacentral:lncRNA from 1 species